AGGAAUCGCGAUUUCACCUAUUUUUUUUUACUGUAACAUCCUGCCGUCGGAGUCACUAUCAUCGGCUCCACCUCCUCCGAGGGAAGUACAGAUCCCUUCACCGCUGCUCGAAUAGAUCGUCUGCAGUCGCGUGACUCGACUUUACCCCGCUGCUCCGCUUCCCUCUCUCGUGCUCGCCGCCCCACAGCUCGAAGACGACGAGGUGGCCUCAGCACACGCGCGCGCAACCAUGGCAGCAUUAUCAGCGAAGACCAUACAAAAUGCAUUCUUGGCACAACACACACGGAAUAGGCAUGGUGCAAGAUAUCCCAGUGAUUUUUGUUCUCUCAAUACCCGCAGCAUGCAUUCCUUCCAGGAAUGUAGAUUGGCAGUGGCUGAUUCUUCAGCCAAAUGGUUAAAUACCACAUCGACGCUAUGGACUAGCUUCAACAAACAAGCAGGCAUUAGCUGCAAUGCUGCUCAAGGUGGCACUGUUGUGUGUUCAUCUGAGAAAGUUGAGUUUCUGAAGCUUCAAAAUGGCAGUGAUAUUCGUGGUGUUGCUGUUGCUGGGGUUGAAGGUGAGCCUGUCAACCUCACGGAAGAUGUCACUAAAGCUAUAGCUGCAGCUUUUGCUGCAUGGCUGUUAAACAAGAAACCAGAUGGCUUGAGACGUUUAAGAAUCUCUGUUGGACAUGAUUCACGAAUUUCUGCACAUAAAUUGCAGAAUGCAGUCACUCAUGGAAUCACUACUGCUGGACACGAUAUCCUACAGUUUGGAUUGGCUUCAACGCCUGCAAUGUUCAACAGUACACUUACAGAAGAUGAGAGAAGUCAUUUACCUGUUGAUGGAGCCAUAAUGAUAACAGCAAGCCAUCUCCCCUACAAUCGGAAUGGUCUCAAGUUUUUUACAAGUGAUGGUGGGCUAAAUAAAGCUGAUAUCAAAGAUAUCCUGGAGCGUGCUUCCAAAAUAUAUGAGGAAUCUGCACAUAAUAACCUGAAAGAACAGGGGGAAGCUUCGAAGGGAGUUGUCACUAAUGUGGACUACAUGUCAAUUUAUGCUUCUGAUCUUGUACAAGCAGUUCGUAAAUCUGCUGGAGACAAAGAAAAACCAUUGGAGGAACUGCAUAUAGUCGUUGAUGCAGGGAAUGGUGCUGGUGGUUUUUUUGUGGAUAAGGUACUCAAACCAUUAGGAGCUGUUACCACUGGAAGUCAAUUCCUUGAGCCUGAUGGUUUGUUUCCCAAUCACAUUCCCAACCCUGAGGACAAAACCGCAAUGAAGUUUAUUACACAAGCAGUUCUUGAUAACAAGGCAGACUUAGGCAUCAUAUUUGAUACUGAUGUUGACAGGUCUGCGGCUGUUGAUUCCAGGGGUCGUGAGUUGAAUCGUAACCGAUUGAUUGCUUUGAUGGCUGCCAUAGUUCUUGAGGAACAUCCAGGAACUACAGUUGUGACAGAUAGUGUGACUUCAGAUGGAUUGACUGUAUUUAUUGAAAAUAAACUUGGAGGGAAGCAUCACCGUUUCAAACGAGGGUACAAGAAUGUAAUAGACGAGGCUAUUCGUCUGAACUCUAUUGGUGAGGAGUCACAUUUGGCCAUGGAAACAAGUGGGCAUGGAGCGCUGAAAGAGAACCACUGGCUUGAUGAUGGAGCAUACCUUAUGGUCAAACUUUUGAAUAAACUUGCUGCUGCUAGAACACUGGGUUCAAGUAUUGGUAGUAAAGUUUUGACUGAUUUGGUUGAGGGCCUUGAGGAAGCUGAUGUGACAGUUGAGAUAAGGUUAAAGAUUGAUCAGAAUCAUGCAGAUUUGAAAGGAGGGUAUGCUAACUCUGAAAUGUUCUUUGGUUAUUUCACAAGGAGAUAGCAUCUUUUGCAGAAGUUUUCUAGUAUUGUGCACUUAAACAGAAACGAUGUAUGUGAAUGAAUGGUCCUUCCGUGACUAUGGAGAAUCCGUCUUGAGACAUUUAGAGAAUGCAAUCAGCAAAGACCCAAAUCUCCGUAAAGCCCCGGUGAACCAUGAGGGCGUAAGGGUUUCAGGAUAUGGUGGGUGGUUCUUGCUGAGGCUCUCUCUGCAUGAUCCUGUUCUUCCCCUAAACAUUGAGGCACAGAGUAACGAUGAUGCGAUUAAGCUGGGGCUUGCGGUUCUUGCUGCUGUGAAUGAAUUUCCAGCACUGGAUGUGACGGCACUGAACAAAUUCGUGCAUCAGUGAAUAUAAGGGACGGACAUUGGCAUCAUAAUGUGAUCAGCUUCGCAUGGUGUCGUGUUCGCCCCGGUCGAACAUGUUCUACAUGUGGCACGAGUAUCAUACAGAAAUAUACCAGUUUAUUACUUGCACAGGCUUUUUAGUUUGGAAAGACAAGGGAGAUUUCAGUGUUGAGAUGAUUCUUGUGUGUGUUUAUACCAGCUAUCAGAGUAAGAAUAUGCGUGCGUACUGUUGAGGCUGAUCUUUACUUGAGAAUAAGGUUUGAGUUACCUGAGUAUUUUUUUAAAAGGAUCAGGAGGCUUGCUGUGAUGUGAGGCCACGAAUUUGCCAAUAAGUACCUCGAUUUUUCUUUA